CGCCGCGUGAGUGAUGAAGGUUUUCGGAUCGUAAAACUCUGUUGUUAGGGAAGAACAAGUACCGUUCGAAUAGGGCGGUACCUUGACGGUACCUAACCAGAAAGCCACGGCUAACUACGUGCCAGCAGCCGCGGUAAUACGUAGGUGGCAAGCGUUGUCCGGAAUUAUUGGGCGUAAAGCGCGCGCAGGCGGUUUCUUAAGUCUGAUGUGAAAGCCCCCGGCUCAACCGGGGAGGGUCAUUGGAAACUGGGGAACUUGAGUGCAGAAGAGGAGAGUGGAAUUCCACGUGUAGCGGUGAAAUGCGUAGAGAUGUGGAGGAACACCAGUGGCGAAGGCGACUCUCUGGUCUGUAACUGACGCUGAGGCGCGAAAGCGUGGGGAGCGAACAGGAUUAGAUACCCGGGGUUA
rnacentral:rRNA from 1 species